rnacentral:lncRNA from 1 species
GUGGAUGGGCGUCCGGAUGUCUUGAUGAUAGCAUUACCGUAUAAUAGCUCGGCUGCUCGAUCUAUUACCGAUGAUGGCCGUGUACUGAACAGUGUGCAGGGUGCAUUGUGCACACGCAUACAUACAUUCAGGUACGUGGUGGUCGACCGGAAUGCAUCCAUCCAUGAAAAAGCAUGGAUGGUCAGCACAGUCUCUGCAACCUGCUGCUAUAUUUAUUUGCAUUUGCUUGCUCUGGUUAUCAACAUUGCAUGGCCAAUGGCUAAUGAACGGUCACGCGCGUAGGCUUCGAAAGAAGAUGCAAAAACCAAAAGGCAAGGAAUUCAUCAUUGC